UCUGGCUGCCAGACGUCCUUCUCUUCCCGGAUAAGAAGCAGAGGACCUUCCAGCCACCCCCGACAGGCCACAAGCGUUCCACGAGCGAAGGUGCCUGGCCGCAGCUGCCCUCUGGUCUCUCCAUGAUGAGGUGCCUCCACAACUUCCUGACAGAUGGGGUCCCUGCGGAGGGGGCGUUCACUGAAGACUUCCAGGGCCUACGGGUAGAGGUGGAGACCAUCUCCAAGGAACUGGAGCGUUUGGACAGAGAGCUGUGCCAGCUGCUGCUGAAGGGCCUGGAGGGGGUGCUGCGGGACCAGCUGGCCCUGCGAGCCUUGGAGGAGGCGGUGAGCGGGGGAGGAUGCCUGGGGCACACAAGGCCUGCCCAGCCAGCCAGGCUCACCUGCCCUUCCCAUGCCCACAGCUGGAGCAGGGCCAGAGCCUUGGGCCGGUGGAGCCCCUGGACGGUCCAGCAGGUGCUGUCCUGGAGUGCCUGGUGUUCUCCUCCGGAGUGCUGGUGCUGGAACUCGCCAUCCCUGUUGUCUACCUGCUGGGGGCACUGACCAGUGAGCGGCCCC
rnacentral:sRNA from 1 species